rnacentral:rRNA from 1 species
AUUGAACGCUGGUGGCAGGCCUAACACAUGCAAGUCGAACGGUAACAGGAAGCAGCUUGCUGCUUCGCUGACGAGUGGCGGACGGGUGAGUAAUGUCUGUGAAGCUGCCUGAUGGAGGGGGAUAACUACUGGAAACGGUAGCUAAUACCGCAUAAUGUCGCAAGACCAAAGAGGGGGACCUUCGGGCCUCUUGCCAGCGGAUGUGCCCAGAUGGGAUUAGCUUGUUGGUGGGGUAACGGCUCACCAAGGCGACGAUCCCUAGCUGGUCUGAGAGGAUGACCAGCCACACUGGAACUGAGACACGGUCCAGACUCCUACGGGAGGCAGCAGUGGGGAAUAUUGCACAAUGGGCGCAAGCCUGAUGCAGCCAUGCCGCGUGUAUGAAGAAGGCCUUCGGGUUGUAAAGUACUUUCAGCGGGGAGGAAGGGAGUAAAGUUAAUACCUUUGCUCAUUGACGUUACCCGCAGAAGAAGCACCGGCUAACUCCGUG